rnacentral:misc_RNA from 1 species
UACCUCCUUUCUAAGGAGCACCACGAAAACGCCCCAACUGGUGGGGCGUAGGCCGUGAGGGGUUCUUGUCUGUAGUGGGCAAAGCCGGUGCAUGACAACAAAGUUGGCCACCAACACACUGUUGGGUCCUGAGGCAACACUCGGACUUGUUCCAGGUGUUGUCCCACCGCCUUGUGGUGGGGUGUGUGUUUGAAACUGAUAGUGAUUGCAGCAUACAUA